rnacentral:rRNA from 1 species
UACGUAGGUGGCAAGCGUUGUCCGGAAUUAUUGGGCGUAAAGCGCGCGUAGGCGGCUCUUUAAGUCUGAUGUGAAAGCCCACGGCUCAACCGUGGAGGGUCAUUGGAAACUGGCGAACUUGAGUACAGAAGAGGAAAGCGGAAUUCCACGUGUAGCGGUGAAAUGCGUAGAGAUGUGGAGGAACACCAGUGGCGAAGGCGGCUUUCUGGGCUGUAACUGACGCUGAGGCGCGAAAGCGUGGGGAGCAAACAGG